rnacentral:pre_miRNA from 1 species
AGAAAAAUGCCCAACCAGCCCUCAGUUGCUACAGUCCCCUGUUGUUUUAGCUCAACAACAACAGGGAGCUGUAGCAAUGGGGGUGCUAGUUGGGCAUCGCAAUGUGC